UGCGAACUCCUACGGGAGGCAGCAGUGAGGAAUAUUGGUCAAUGGACGUAAGUCUGAACCAGCCAAGUAGCGUGCAGGAAGACGGCCCUAUGGGUUGUAAACUGCUUUUGUAUGGGGAUAAAGUCAAUCACGUGUGAUUGUUUGCAGGUACCAUACGAAUAAGGACCGGCUAAUUCCGUGCCAGCAGCCGCGGUAAUACGGAAGGUCCAGGCGUUAUCCGGAUUUAUUGGGUUUAAAGGGAGCGUAGGCCGGAGAUUAAGUGUGUUGUGAAAUGUAGACGCUCAACGUCUGACUUGCAGCGCAUACUGGUUUCCUUGAGUACGCACAACGUUGGCGGAAUUCGUCGUGUAGCGGUGAAAUGCUUAGAUAUGACGAAGAACUCCGAUUGCGAAGGCAGCUGACGGGAGCGCAACUGACGCUGAAGCUCGAAGGUGCGGGUAUCGAACAGGAUUAGAUACCCCGGUAGUCCUAUC
rnacentral:rRNA from 1 species